AUUGAACGCUGGCGGCAGGCCUAACACAUGCAAGUCGAGCGGAUGAAGGGAGCUUGCUCCUGGAUUCAGCGGCGGACGGGUGAGUAAUGCCUAGGAAUCUGCCUGGUAGCGGGGGAUAACGUCCGGAAACGGGCGCUAAUACCGCAUACGUCCCGAGGGAGAAAGUGGGGGAUCUUCGGACUUCACGCUAUCAGAUGAGCCUUGGUCGGAUUAGCUAGUUGGUGGGGGAAAGGCCUACCAAGGCGACGAUCCGUAACGGGUCUUAGAGGAUGAUCAGUCACGCUGGAGCUGAGACACGGUUCGGACUCGUACGGGAGGCAGGAGUGGGGAGUAUUGGAGAAUGGGCGAAAGCCUGAUCAAGCCAUGCCGCGUGUGUGAAGAAGGUCUUCGGAUUGUAAAGCACUUUAAGUUGGGAGGAAGGGCAGUAAGUUAAUACCUUGCUGUUUUGACGUUACCAACAGAGGAAGCACCGGCUAACUUCGU
rnacentral:rRNA from 1 species